GACGAACGCUGGCGGCGUGCUUAACACAUGCCAGUCGAACGGAAAGGCCCUGCUUUUGUGGGGUGCUCGAGUGGCGAACGGGUGAGUAACACGUGAGUAACCUGCCCUUGACUUUGGGAUAACUUCAGGAAACUGGGGCUAAUACCGGAUAGGAGCUCCUGCUGCAUGGUGGGGGUUGGAAAGUUUCGGCGGUUGGGGAUGGACUCGCGGCUUAUCAGCUUGUUGGUGGGGUAGUGGCUUACCAAGGCUUUGACGGGUAGCCGGCCUGAGAGGGUGACCGGCCACAUUGGGCCUGCGAUACGGCCCAGACUCCUACGGGCGGCAGCAGUGGGGAAUAUUGCACAAUGGGCGGAAGCCUGAUGCAGCAACGCCGCGUGCGGGAUGCCGGCCUUCGGGUUGUAAACCGCUUUCGCCUGUGACGAAGCGUGAGUGACGGUAAUGGGUAAAGAAGCACCGGCUAACUACGUG
rnacentral:rRNA from 1 species